GGCAUCAUAGUUUGAAAUCCCGAAACUAGACGAGCUACUCCGAAGCAGUCAAAAAGAACUAACCCGUCUCUGUAGCAAAAGAGUGGGAAGACUUCCGAGUAGAGGUGAGAAGCCUACCGAGCCUAGUUAUAGCUGGUUGCUUAAGAAAAGAAUAUGAGUUCAGCCUUAUAAGUUUCUUUAAUCAAAAAAAAGAAUAAAGCAACACAUAAGAGUUAGUCGAAUGAGGUACAGCUCUUUCGAAAAAGAAUACAACCUUAUUCAGGUGAAUAAAGAUUAUACUUUAAAAGGACAUGACUUUAUAUAGUGGGCCUGAAAGCAGCCACCUUUAAUAGAAAGCGUUAAAGCUCAAGAACAGCCAGACCAACAAUUUUAAUAACUACUCCUAAUUCCCUAAUAAUAUUAAGCAGUCCUAUAUUUAUAGGAGAAAUUAUGCUAAAAUUAGUAAUAAGAGAAACUAGACUCUCUCCCAGCACAUGUGUAAGUUAGAACGGACAAACCACUGACAACUAACGGCCCCAGAAAUGAGGGGAAAACAAUAUAACUUAAUAAACAAGAAAAAACUAUUACUGUUACCGUUAACCCAACACAGGAGUGCACCAAGGAAAGACUAAAAGGGGAAGAAGGAACUCGGCAAACACAAACCUCGCCUGUUUACCAAAAACAUCGCCUCCCGCAAAUAGAAUGUAUUGGAGGUCCUGCCUGCCCAGUGACAACUGAUUUAACGGCCGCGGUAUUUUGACCGUGCAAAGGUAGCGUAAUCACCUGUCUCUUAAAUAGAGACCCGUAUGAAUGGCAAGACGAGGGUUUUACUGUCUCCUCCCCCCAGUCAAUGAAAUUGAUCUACCCGUGCAGAAGCGGGUAUAAAAACAUAAGACGAGAAGACCCUAUGGAGCUUUAGGCCAAGAUCAAAUAUGUAAAAAACCUAAUCUUUCUAAAGAAUUAAAAAUGUAAAAAACAAUUAUUUAUGACUCUUACACCUUCGGUUGGGGCGACCACGGGGAAAAACAAAACCCCCACAUGGACAUGGAGUUAAACUUAACUCCUAAGCCAAGAAAAACCAUUCUAAGCAACAAAAUUUUUGACCAAAAAUGAUCCGGGAUUUUACCGAGCAAUGAACCAAGUUACCCUAGGGAUAACAGCGCAAUCCUCUCCCAGAGCCCAUAUCUACGAGGGGGUUUACGACCUCGAUGUUGGAUCAGGACAUCCUAGCGGUGCAGCUGCUGCUGAGGG
rnacentral:rRNA from 2 species